rnacentral:rRNA from 1 species
UACGGAGGGUGCUAGCGUUAAUCGGAAUUAUUGGGCGUAAAGGGCGCGUAGGCCGAAAGAUAAGUCAGAUGUGAAAUCCCGAAGCUUAACUUCGGAACGGCAUUUGAAACUGUCUUUCUAGAGGGUAGGCGGAGAAAAUGGAAUUCCACAAGUAGCGGUGAAAUGCGUAGAUAUGUGGAAGAACACCAGUGGCGAAGGCGGCUCACUGGACUGGUACUGACGCUGAUGCGCGAAAGCGUGGGGAGCAAACAGG